GUGAGGAAAAAUCACAUGACACAUUUUGUGGCCAUGACUGGAUGUGGUGAACAUUAUUUCCAUGACAGGACCCCAGUCUUAACUGCAAAGGAUGCUGGGAAAUGUAGUUUCCCUAAGUGGUCAGGAAGAAAAAGUGUGAUAGGUGAAUAUUUAGCUAGACUCUGCCAUAUUUACGAAGGGGCUUUUCCAUUCCUAAUGUAAAUUAACCCUCAGUGGAUCUGUCUUCCCAGCCUUUUCUAUAUGUUCAGAUAUGUCUGAAUUCAUGAACACUAUUUAAUGUGGAAACUGAGAAAGGUUAAGGUAUACAUAGUUAACAAGUGACAGACCUGAAAUGUAAUUCAAAUUUGCCUGAAUCUCAAGUUAUUUUCUGCCUUCAAAUUUUAUACUUCAGGCAGUGGCAUCAGGAACAACAUCAGAUUGGGAGGAACUUGACUCCUUUGCACCCCUGGAGUCCUCUGAGAUAUCAGAACUUCAGUGGCAUCAAAGGUUUGGUUCAGUUAGUACUAUAAUUAACAGGAGUUAAAGGUACGUCUCCUGAGGUUACAGAGGAAACUGAGAUUGAUAGUGUCUUACAGUGGCAAGGAAGUGAAAUCAUUGGGAAAUAGUCAACAUCUCCUCCUCCAAGUUGGAUACAGGAAGAUAGCCAUGUUAAAUGGUCUCAGAAAAUAUCUAUACCUCUUUUUCACCUUUCUUCAGAAGGCUGAGGAAAAAGUUAAGAGAAGGCCAUUGAGAAGGAAAGACAAGACGGGGCCUGGAUUUUAGCAUCAUGCUUACCCUGUAGCUUUUCUUUUUUGGCAACUGCAUGGGUAUGAAUGUAUUUUUAAACUCAUAGAGCCUCAGUUUUCUUGUCAAUAAAAUGGGGAUAGUGAAAUGCAAAGUAGUAUGAAUUAAAUAAUUUCCACUAGUACUAUGCCUAAAAAAUCAGAGGCAUUGCAACUAAAGAUUUCUCCAUUUUUCUUUUUAUUAACACUUUUUCUUUCAUACCUAGGCCAUCAAGGGGAGGCAUGAUGGUGGAAAGACAAUUUUCCCGAUGCUAUGGAAGUUCCAUGAGACAUAAAGGGAACAAGGGCCAGAUGGCAUGCAGACAUGUGCUUGAGACUGGAACUCUGCCAAGGCAUUCUGGACCCACAGGAACUGAAAUAGUUUGCCUUCAUUAUCUGGUAGACCUGCUCGAGUCUGUAGCCCCUGACAGAAACCACAAGACUGUACAAACUGGCAACUGUGGGUUUGUCUGUUCUCUAUUGAUUCUAUUUCUGGAAAAAAAAAAAAAACAUGAACCAAUGGGUGAGCCAUGUGACUGUACAACUGACCCAAAGCUACCAUCAGAAGUGGGACGGAGACCUUUGUAGACAGGUCAUGAUGGGACCUCAACACUUUCCUGUCUGCUUCUUAAGCAUGGCUUUCAGUAGCUUUGACUUGAAACUUAACUCCUUGUGUUCUGACGCAUGAAACUGGAGGAGAAUCUUCAUAUUCUAUAGCUUUUUAUUUAAAUUUGGGAGGCCAUAGGUCAAAAUGUUCCAGACAUCUAAUAAUAUGUGCAAUAAAGACCAGUUAUUUUAACUUAUAAAAUAUCUUAGUUUUUUCCUCCAUGUGAAUUGCAAAGCAACUCCUUCAGAAGAUUUGAACACACACACACACACACACACACACACACACACAUACACACACACGUGUACUUUUCAGACUAUGAAACUGCAAAUGCUGUAGUGUUUCCUUUUCUCGAGCUUCGGUAUUUGUGCUCAGUACUGAUAAUUAGGUAAAUAGAAUGUAGGACUUCUUUGUAAUAGGGCCAAAUGUAAGAGUUCUGGUCUUGGCUCUAAUAUGCUAUGUGUCUUUGGUCUUCUCUCUUCUUCGUUAAAUGUCAAAAGACUAAAAUGAUCACUGAUGUCUGUUCUAAUUCUAAGAUUCAAAGUGAAUAAGAAUCUUUGAUAGCAUGAGACAGAUCUAGGUAGUAGAGAACACAGGUAUGAGAGAACAUAUCCUAUUAAACACACACGUGCAUGGGUGCACGCACACACAUACACUCAACAGAAAAACCAAAAUAGCUUCCCUCUCUUCCUCCCCCAAUAAUGACAAUGCAGCCAUCUGUUGGACGUUCCAUUUUGCUUAGCAGCUGCUCUCAGAUACAGAAAUCUGCAUUCCUCUGGCUUGUGCUGGUAUGCAGGCAGCAUGUGUGGGUACUAGCAUUUGACUCUCCACCCAAAGGAAUGGCUUUCAUUGAAUAAAAAUGAUUGCAGAGGUUUCUUAUUCCCCCAUCACACAAAUGCUUUUUUCCCCCUGAUAAUAGGCAUUUGAAGCCAUCUCUACUGCUCUGUGUGUUAAAAUAUACCCUGUUAGAGAUAUUCCUAUCAAGUAAUCAUCUAAAAUUGAAGAGGACAACCAGGAAAGGCUUCAGUGAAACUCUGCCUUGCCAGAAACUUCUACUUUGAAGGAAAGUGGGAGAGGUUGGAAUAUAAACUUCCAUUCUACUUUUAUUUUGUCCACACCCCCAGCAUUGCACUUAAGCACUGAGCAAUGAGUAUUGUUCAAAACAAAACUAGGAGGCUUUUGAAGGUAGCAUUAAUCUUGACAUCAAACUAAAUGAAAAUAUAUAAGAGAAAUAUUCAAAGGGGACAUGGAAGUAAAGUCCUUUAAAUAUUCCAUCUCCCUGCUGCUCCCAGCCCAAGCCUCUUCUACAGGCUGAAAUUUUGUCUUCUGUGUGGUAUAUUAUAUAAAGUGGUAUAUCAUUAAAAAAAGAAGAAAUUGAGUUGGGGGUUGGGAGGAACCGCUGUUACAAACAACAACAAGAAAGUGUCCUACAGGCUCUGUAGAUGAGAACCUUGGGUAAAAUUGGAUCUGCUUUUGAGUACAUAAUUUAGGACAUUUGUUACAAGAUUACUGUGGUUUUCUAUAAAUGUUAGUUUGCUGUAUUAUUUUCCAUGAACUAGUUUUCCAAAAUGCAGAAUAUUUUGCCCCCAAAACAUGGAAGCACUAAAGCUCGAUGAGGCACUGAUUCAUGGGGUGUCACCCAGAAACAGCUGGUCAGCCAUCUGCAGCCCCAGAGUCCUCUUAUUUUUACUUUAUUCAGCUAAUUCUUUAUGUAGAGGGGGAAGAAGAUGCAUAAAUCCUGGGAGAAGAGCAUGGCUCAUUUAAGAAAAUGAUGACUAACGCCUGCCCGAGACUGAUAUCUGGUGGCCUGAUGUGCUGAUUUGGAGGGGUCCGUUUCCUAUGUGCAUUAGGCUUUCAACUCUCCACUACAUGUGCAUUAUUUUCUGUGUAUCCUGUUCUUUUGGAAAAGGAAAGAAAUGAUGAUAUGCCAUUGAUUGUUUCAUGGGAAUGGUUCCAGAUUAGAGCACCCUUGAGAGCCAUAACCGGUCUUUUCAAAGCAGGCAGAAGAGCCUGCAGGAUCAAGGACAAGCCUGGAAGUUAGACCUGUAUGUUUGUCCAUGGAUCCCUCAAAUGUUUCUAAAUUAAACCUUCUAACUACCAUGGAUUCUGUGGUCAAAAAAUGUUGGAGGUAAAGACAGUAUUUGACACAAAUUAAAAGAUAUAUCAUGAUUCAAAGCCAAAAUUAUGUUAAAUGCUCAGUAAAUAUUUAGGCAGUGCUGUUUUAUUUCAAAUUUGACAUAGCUGUAGUAAAGUUGUGAAUCAUUCAAUUAGAAUAGCCUUUUGCUUCCCUGAAUGGGAAGGGGCCUUGCUGACAGGAGGUGGAUUGUUGUUAUCCCUUCCUUGUGCUACCUAAGGCAGUUCAUUCAGAUGACAGAGCCAGAUGACUGUGUGGGAAGCAUACCUUCCAAUCAUAGCAAGGAGGCUUUUAGGUGCACAGGUGUAUGCUGCUUACAGGUAAGCGUAAUUAUAGUUUAAUCAAAUCCUUAUGUGUCUCUGGAGACCACAUUUGGCAUACCUUUUAAUAUUUUGCUUGAGUCAUCAAAAUCUUCUCCCCAUUCUCCCCAUAUGUAUUGGUAUGUGUACAUACACACAUUUCUUUCUUAUUUUAUUUAUUUAUCUUGGCUUAUGAUCACAAAGGAUUUUAGUUUCUUUCAUGCCUUACAUAGCAACAGUAGAAGAUGAAUCAUUUUAUUUUUACAGUUAAAAGGUAGGGAAGAUAAACUUUCAUUGCUACAUUUAACCUGUGUAGCAUUAUUAAACUUAACAUAAUUUAUUGAUCUACUCAAAUUUUUUUGGUUGUGUAAUACUGAAAAGCUACCAUGACAAUUGACUAGAACAAAAGGAAAAUGCACCUUUAAUUGAUAAGACAGACAAUUUUUGUAAAAGAAUUGGAAAACCAUCUGUACUGUAAACUUUUGUGUCUCUUUUUCAUUCCUGUUUACUCUGCUAUUCAAUCCAAAUAAAGAUUGUUUUCACCUCAGCAACACAAAAAUCACAUGGACGAUCCUUCAGGCUGUCAGUCAGAAGAGAGAUAUACAUAUGCCCAAAGUAUACACUUGUGCUUCUUCUCGGUGUUAUUUGGGGAAAAUAUGUUGCAUGUUCUCCUGGCUCUCCUAGUUUUACAUUUUGAAUUAAUGCAAUUUAUUCUAAUUUAUGACAACUGUUUGAAAGGCUUGCUCUCCAUUUUCCCAUUUAUAAAAAGGUUGUUUACUUAGAGGGGGAAAAGCAGUAGGGAAAGUAGAUUGCCUUGCAUAUUCAGGUGGAAAAAGUUAGUGGGCUCCCCAUCUUGGAGUCAGUGAUGUGCACGAGGGUUGGGAUUGUAAGGACAUCUCUUGUAACAACUUUUUCUGCCCCUUUGGAAAUAGGAAUGAAAUUGUGGAGAACCUUCCUUCUGUUUCUUAAAGAAAGCCAUAUACAAUUGAGUUAAUUACCUCCCCCUCUUCUCUUGUUCUCCCUUCUUGUAUUUAUAUAGCAGCCAUCACCAUAGUACCCUACACACGUUGAUAAGAAUGCUAUUUCAGAAAAAAAUAAAAAUAAAAAAGGAAGAAGAAGGAAAAAAGGCACACUGUAGAAAAGAAAGAUUAUUUCUUGUCGUAGUACAAGAAUCCUCUUAAGGCUCAAAACCAAUAAAAUAGAUUGGUCCCGCUGUACCUAGAACAGUCUCAGUCAUAGUGGGUAUUUAAGGAAUAUUUUUCAGUUGGUGUUACUAGAAUCCAUUCCUCUGUCCUUGUUUAAAAACAAAGUCUCGUCCCAGUGUGCUCUUUUCCUGCCUUCAUGCUUCCUAGAAGGGCUCUGUUGUGAAAGGACCUCUUGCUAGAGAAGAAACUGAGCAGAAAGAGAAUGACAGGGAGCACGUGUAGAUUUCAGGGGCAGUCUAGGAUCCAGAUCUCCCUUAGGGCUUUCAUGAAAUUUUGUUUCCUGUUGACAUACGGUACUUAUCUUGUUAACUGUGUACAUGUACAAAGUGUUAUGUGGAUAUGUAUAACCAUAGCCACUAACAUCCUUUAAAGAAAUAACAAGUCAUAGAAGUAAAGACAUUAUUAUACUUCUAAUUCCCUUAAGUGUAUUAACUCAUUUAAUUCUCAUAAUAUAUCUAGGAGGUAUAUCUAUGGUUUUCAGCACCAUUUUAAAAAUUAAGAGGCUUGAUGAUGGACAGGUUAAAUAAUUGGCCCAGAAUCAUGGUAAGUAAUGAUCAGAAAAAAGGGAUUUGAACCAAGGUAGUCUCAUUCCAACUUCCAUGUUCUUACCUACCAUGCCUUGCUGACUCUUUCUCAAACUACUAAUCGGUUCAUACUGUAUCAGUAAUCAGGGCUUGGAAUAAACCUUUAGGAUAAUAUUAUUUUAAGGCCCAGAUCUUACCAUACAAUAAUGAUCUGCUGAACCUCAAAUCUAAUCUAGCCUUAGAGUAGGCAACUGAAUACAAGACUUUCCAGAAAGGACUGCUCUAACUUAUUCUUUGUUUACAUGAAAUGAUCUAAUUCUUUGUUUACAAUUUUGAAUGCAAUGCAUACUUAACCUAUAAAACCCAUGACCUUUCACUAAAAGCAUGCAUCCAUGCGUUCAUAUAAAGUUACUGAUGAUUCAGUGAAAAAUCAUUUUGCUUUUGUAUAUGUAUUAGUCUACUGGUUGGGGGGAAUUCAAACACAUAAAUAGUUAAAAUAUUGCUUCAGUAUGACAGGUAACAUUUACAAAAUUAUGGCAACAAGGAAUAAGGAUUUUGGGGUGUAGAUGAUGGGGUUAAUACAGACUGUGAAUGGGAUAAGGAUAUCUACAUGGAGAACUAGGUUCUUGAAUUAAAGUCUUGAAGGGUUGAUGAAAAGUAUGUAGCCAGAGAGUCAGGUGAAGACGAUUUAGGAAGAGGAAGCAGUUUGUUCCAAGAUUUGGAGGUAUGACAGAGGAUGAUGUCCAUGAAAUACGAUGUAGCUGGAGUGAGAUGUCAAAGUGAUGAGAGGUGGGACUAAAAGAAUGAGUAGGGAUCAGGCCAUGAAGGACCACUGGGUCCCCUAUUCUGUAGGUAAAAGCAAAUCAUGAGAGAUGAGUAACAAUUGGGGGCUCAUCUGACUUUUGUUUUCAAAAAUGAGCUUAGAAUUCAAUGGCCUGGAUGAGGGUAAAACCAAAGGGGAAAAAAAGCAGUGAAGGGAUCUUAAGGCAUAGUGAUAGACACUACACUAUAAUUUUAAUACUCAGAACAAUCCCAUGUACAAGACACUAUUUCCAUUAAGGAGAUUAAACAAAACCAAACAAAAUUGAGAACUGUUGAGUAACUUGCCCACGAUGUAAGGCAAGUAAAUGACAGCUGUUUUACUUUCACAUUAGACUCCAAUCCUGCCCACUUCCUUCUAUAUCAUGCUGUCUCCUAUUUCAGUGUCUUAACAAAAAGUCAGCACUCCUAGUCUCCACUUAGAAUUACUCAAAACUUCCCUCUACUGUCCAGAUUCUCUUCCCAACCCUCUGACCAUGCCUGUACCAUCUCUUCUGCUGUAUACCUUCAGCCUUCCUCUCAACUAUUCCUGUUUCUCAAAGUUCUCUCCUGAGUCCUCUAAGCUCUCCUUUUUUUUUUUUUAUCAUACCCAUCUCUCCUUGACAAGAUCUCUCUUUCUGCAGUAAUCCUAUCCAUUUCGUGCAUCCCAUGCAAGAACCCUGCCCCCUUAACUCCUCUAACUCUCAACACGGAAAGUGUCCCCAUGUCCCGUUGUUACUAUUUUAUAGGAUAAACAAGUCUCCUAUGGCAAGUCUGGUAAAAUGAUCAUUGUGUCUUGCCUAUACUGUUGAAAGAGCAAUUUGACUAGUUUUUACAUCGGGCAAUCAGAUUAACAUUUCUGGGCAGAAGUCCGACUUGUCUACUUCCUUGCUUGAAUCUUGUCAUUGGCUCCCUAUUAAAAAUAAAACAAAUUGUAAUUUUCCAAGAGUGCUCAAUGAGUACACCUAAAUUGGGCCACCAGUUUUUACAUCACCUUAUUUCCCAUUGCUUGGCACACUGCUGGCUGCUAGGAAGUACUCAAUACACAUCUGUUGGGCAAAUGAAUGAGUGAAUUUAACUCACGUAAACUGAUA